rnacentral:rRNA from 1 species
CCUACGGUGGGCAGCAGUGCGGAAUAUUGGUCAAUGGGCGGGAGCCUGAACCAGCCAAGUCGCGUGAGGGAAGACGGUCCUAUGGAUUGUAAACCUCUUUAGGCGGGGAGCAAUGCCGGGCACGCGUGCCCGGAGGGAGAGUACCCGCAGAAUACGCAUCGGCUAACUCCGUGCCAGCCGCCGCGGUCAUACGGAGGAUGCGAGCGUUCUCCGGAUUUAUUGGGGUUAAGGGGUUCGUAGGCGGAUUUUUAAGUCAGCGGUAAAAUGUCCGGGCUCAACCCGGGCCGGCCGUUGAAACUGGGGAUAGUGAUUGGGCGAGAAGUAUGCGGAAUGCGUGGUGUAGCGGUGAAAUGCAUAGAUAUCACGCAGAACUCCGAUUGCGAAGGCAGCAGACCGGCGCCCGACUGACGCUGAGGCACGAAAGCGUGGGGAUCGAACAGGAUUAGAUACCCCAGUAGUC